rnacentral:rRNA from 1 species
UACGUAGGGUGCGAGCGUUGCCCGGAUUUAUUGGGCGUAAAGAGCUCGUAGGCGGUCUGUCGCGUCUGUUGUGAAAACUCGAGGCUCAACCUCGGGCUUGCAGUGGAUACGGGCAGACUAGAGUGCGGUAGGGGAGACUGGAAUUCCUGGUGUAGCGGUGGAAUGCGCAGAUAUCAGGAGGAACACCGAUGGCGAAGGCAGGUCUCUGGGCCGCAACUGACGCUGAGGAGCGAAAGCAUGGGGAGCGAACAGG